UCGCAUCCAACGACGGAGGUCGUGGCGAGAGGGUUCUGGUUGUGGGCAGGCCAAGCUCACGGCCGGAGUUGUCAGCGUCGGGCCACACACAGGUGCUGUGCAGGCUGUCCAAGCUCGCGUCUUGGGGCGGAGGUCAUGGCCAAAGGGUGGUGGUCCAGCGUUGGAGGCGAGCAGCGAAGAGCUCACCGGAGGUGGUGGACGAAGCGAAGGUAGUCACGACAGUUGAUUCGCGCGAGAAGGACGAGAGACAGGUGUGGAAUAAGUUUUUUAUUCGCUCGAUGAAUUUGGCACUGGCUGGGCAACGGAGGACACCGGUGCCAAAUACUCCAAAAGUCAAUUUGGCAUCGCUUUUGGCCAACAUAGUGGAAGGCCUUAGGCCUUAUACAAUGGUGGAUGCUUAUGCCAGGUGCUUAAGGAAAAAAGACUAGCAUUACGUCAGCAAAUAAACAUGGUCUCGCAAUGGGGAGGUGCUAAUCAGAGGUGCUUCAGUUGCUUUGACGUAGGCGUAGCACCUGGCCUGGCACCCGUUCUCUUCAAUGCGGGAUGCUACGCAACUAAAAUAACGCUCGCAGGCUCAGCUCCCUCCACUAAAAUAACGCUCACACGCUCAGCUCCCUCCUCCUCGCGCUAUCUUCUCAUCUCGUCUGUAUCCUGACCACAACAGUAAUCCCCAAAUCACGCCGGCGACAGCUCCGAUUCCAAAGCACAGGGCCGCCCCUCCCUCCGGUGCUCCCAUGGCGCGGCUUCUUCCUCAAGCUGCCCGGCGCUGCUUCGCCGGUGGCGCAUCCGUGGGAGUCCUUCGGGCAGGGGUCCAGGCGUUUCUCGACGAUGCAGCCGGUGACGGGGAGGAGUCGCGCGGGGUCACGCCGGGGGUAAAGGACCUGGCCCAGGUGGUUCUCGACGAGCCGUGUGCAUAGGGGAGCAGGAUCCGUCUUCUAGCAGAGGUGAGUAACUGAGGUUCGUUGAUUCGCUCGACCGUUCUUCCUGCAAGGAUGUGACUGCUGGCUGCUGCCGGGUGUGGGUAGGAAAAACGAGAAGGGUGUGGAGAGCGAGGUCGCUGCCGGAGCUCUGCCGGAGCGAGGUUGAUUUGGUGUUGCGUUUUCAGGUACUAGCUCGAUUUGUGCAUCUGCGCCUGCCACAUGGAGAGGCUUCCCUUGCUGCUGUUCCGAUUCUUGAUGUUUGUUCGGCCUAAACAUCAUAUUUUUUAUUCCAUCAUGUUUGGUUUCAGGUCCGGGGAUUGGGUUGCUGGAGGAAGGGAGGAGGCGUUGGCAAAGUGCUGCAGGGUGAGUACUUGACCCUCCUAAUCUGCUAUAUAUUUUAGUAUGGUGGUAAAAACUGGAUUGCUUGACCAUAGAGUUGAUUAUUUGAUCAUUCGUAGAUUAUAUAGUUUUCUGUGCCUGCCUGUACUUAGUUCUCAUGUCAUAUGCUGCAUAAUUUAGAUCAUCUGUUCAUGUUCAUCUCAUCAGAAGCUACUAGAGCUUUUAGUACAGACUAGGAUUUGUGAAGUGACAUGUCUCAUUGAUAUGAUCUGAUUCAUACAGCUGAUCUAAUUUAUUCGGGCGUGUAGAUACGAGAAUAGGGUGAUUUUGCUUAUCUCAUCUAUCACUUGGCAAAAAUAAAACAUCGAUGUCCUCAUAAAAAAAACUACUGAUUCAAAAAAUUGGUACCAUUAACUAAACUACUGAUUCAACCUUAUUUGAACCUACAAUCGCCUAGAAUGAUAUCAAAUCAUGCGUCAUUGUCUUCUCACUGGCAGUUGAUCAAGUUCCAGUGGGGCUCAUUCCUUAGCACACUCCAUGAGUUCAGAUCUUUGAAGGACUUGUUUGUUUCUGACCUGUACAUAUCAAGUGCUCUAGACACUAAUUCAUCACUAGAUCUGCAAGUAAUGUACAAAUCUCUCACCCUACGCCACAUACUACAAUUGAAUGUCAUCAUGAGAAAGACCUGAAGAAAAUUCAGAUGAACUUUUACCUUUUCCAUUCCUUUUGUCUUUCGCAAUAUUUCUCCCUGGUGGCCUUGUUUCUUCUUGAAUCUCAUUUACUACAUCAUCAUCAGCUGUGCCCGUUUUCUCCUCUGCAUAUAUCCUUGUCCACUUUGGGUGUUGCCGUAGCUCUCUCCAUAGAUUCCCGAAUGUGAAAGUUUGCUUCUGCUCGGACUUGUACAUGUCAUGAGCUUUAUUCAUGAGUUGGUCAUCAGAUUGACCACUCACGUACACUUCCUUGAGCCUACACCAUAUGCCGUUGAACAGCACAAUCUUGCGGUUCAUCUUUCCCCAAUGGUCUUUGCAGUUGGCCGCCUUCCUCUUCCGAUCUACAUGACUAUUGUUGUUGUACUUUUUGGUUACAUCUUUCCAAUAAACUUCACCUUUCUUUGCAUUUCCGUUGAAUCGACGGAGUUGUUUAACCAAGCACUAAUCUACAUGUUCAAUGCACUACAUUAUAAACAAUUGUAAUGGACAAGUUAAAAUAAAAAUAGUAGAUAACAUAAGGCAAAUAGUUACCAAUCGAAUGUUAUCUUCUUCGGUCCAUGGUAGUCUCUUGCUACCUUUUUCUUCGUCGUUGUUGUCCUCCCGUUCAUCUCCAUCCCCUCCAACACCUAAACUAUUGUGAUUCCCACCAUAGCCAGCCUCAUAUGCAGCUGACCCAUCAUUCAUCAAAUCCAUGAAGGGGAUCUGAGAAUCCAUGAUCUUAUGCAAAGAGAGUGACUGCACAAGAAACUAUGAGAAGUAGCCUAUAUAUAAAGGGUCUGAACCAACACAACUUCUUCGCAAGUUGCAUGUAAAAAUAUUUGACCGCUUCGGUGCUGCAUAUCACAAGUCAUGUGGCCAGUAUUACCUUGAAAAGGUCCUCCAAAGAAAACUGCAUGAAUGACCCCUUCUGGACGGAGAUUCGUUACUGGAUUUGACUAAUUAACAAUCUUCUUUUGGCAACCAUGAGAUGAAUUUAUUUUUGAUACAUGGCACAUGCAUUUCCUCUCUUCUGCUAUAUAAUCAGGGCAGCAUACUAACUUUUGUUUAUGUUGUCAGCUCUGUGUCCACAGUGGGAAACUACGUAUAGGGAUCUAGAUGAAUAGUCAAGUGGCUAGACAUAAAAGAUUCCAUCUGGCUACUAUACUUUGAUGUCCCUGUUGAUGACAGAGCUGGUCAGCUGCUCACGUGAAGAAUCUCUGCUGCUCACAUGGAGGCACUUUUUCUUUCUUUCUUUUGCCGAUGGAGGCACCGAGUGAAGCACCCGUGACUUUUCGGGAGCGGUUAUUUCUUCGGAUGUUUUGUCCAAAAGGACCCCCUGCCGAACGCUAUUGAUAAAAAAGACUACCUACGGAUAAAAUUGUCAAAAAAGACCCCCUCACUAGUGGCGGCAGGCGCGGCAGGUGACACGUGUCACCUGCCGCCACACCAGGAGGCGGCGGGCCCGGCCGCCACGACAGGAGGCGGCCGCGCGCGGUAUAACAGAUUCGGCACAGUGCAACGUAACGGGCGAGGCCAGGUGGGCCACGCCGCCACUGGCUGAGGCGGCCACUGCUGCCCAUGCCGCGCCCAGGCCGACAGCAGCAUCUUCACGGGACGUGAGGCGCGGCCCGGCCGCCACCGGGUGAGGCGGCAGCGCACAUGCGGCCCGACAGCC
rnacentral:lncRNA from 1 species